rnacentral:Y_RNA from 1 species
GGCUGGUCCGAAAGUAGUGAGAUCUCACAACGAUUCUUACAGCCAAUUACUAGUUGACCUACAUGUCUACCCCCCUCCCCCUCACUACUGUACUUCACUAGUCUUAA